GGACGAAUUCUUCCACCCUCACUGUUAUGUUACCAACAUGCACGUCGCCAUAUUGAAAAUGCAUUGAACCCGAGGCAUCUUCCUCGAUCCUGGACCAGGUUUUCAUCAAAAAUAUCUUAAUUUGUGUUCUGAAGAUGAACGAAGGUCUUACGGGUUUGGAGCGUCAGGGCCUUCGUGAGUGUGGAGAACUGAGGACAUCGUCUCAAGCCCCGGGAUGAAGAUAGCUUGUCAAAAUAAUAGGCCUACUUAUUUCAAAGUGGGCACGGGCUGUUUGUGUGGACGUAUCUGGAGGAUGAUGAAGAGUGAGAGAGCAGAGAAGGGAGAGAUGAGUUAAAGAGAAAGCAUGAGGCCCAACAUAAAUGGAGAGACGCAGAACAGAGCUGGUCUGGUAGUUCAUGAGAGGAUUUACAGACACCAUCUCCAGAUCGAGGACGUACUCCUUCGGUCCCGUUACUGCUCUGGCCAACACCAAC